rnacentral:rRNA from 1 species
GACGAACGCUGGCGGCGUGCCUAAUACAUGCAAGUAGAACGCUGAAGAGAGGAGCUUGCUCUUCUUGGAUGAGUUGCGAACGGGUGAGUAACGCGUAGGUAACCUGCCUUGUAGCGGGGGAUAACUAUUGGAAACGAUAGCUAAUACCGCAUAACAAUGGAUGACACAUGUCAUUUAUUUGAAAGGGGCAAUUGCUCCACUACAAGAUGGACCUGCGUUGUAUUAGCUAGUAGGUGAGGUAAUGGCUCACCUAGGCGACGAUACAUAGCCGACCUGAGAGGGUGAUCGGCCACACUGGGACUGGGACACGGCCCAGACUCCUACGGGAGGCAGCAGUAGGGAAUCUUCCGCAAUGGGGGCAACCCUGACCGAGCAACGCCGCGUGAGUGAAGAAGGUUUUCGGAUCGUAAAGCUCUGUUGUAAGUCAAGAACGGGUGUGAGAGUGGAAAGUUCACACUGUGACGGUAGCUUACCAGAAAGGGACGGCUAACUACGUG